rnacentral:misc_RNA from 1 species
GAUGAAGAACGUAGCGAAAUGCGAUAAGUAAUGUGAAUUGCAGAAUUCAGUGAAUCAUCGAAUCUUUGAACGCACAUUGCGCCCGCCAGUAUUCUGGCGGGCAUGCCUGUUCGAGCGUCAUUACAACCCUCAGGCCCCCGGGCCUGGCGUUGGGGAUCGGCGGAAGCCCCCUGCGGGCACAACGCCGUCCCCCAAAUACAGUGGCGGUCCCGCCGCAGCUUCCAUUGCGUAGUAGCUAACACCUCGCAACUGGAGAGCGGCGCGGCCACGCCGUAAAACACCCAACUUCUGAAUGUUGACCUCGAAUCAGGUAGGAAUACCCGCUGAACUUAAGCAUAUCGAUAAGCGGAGGA